GAUGCCCAGGGCCACAGUUCACAAGCCCAGGGAGAUCCGAAGGCGAUGGCAUUCUGCGGCUGGGCUGGACCCACUUCCCCAGCUGAGCAUGAUUCCACAGAAGCAUCUCCAGGAGACCCUGCUGUUCAGGAGCUGCAUGCAUAACACUGGGUUUUGUUUGGCUCCAUUUUCAUAAAUGUUACAAGAACCAACAUUAGAACAAAUAUCUUGUUUUUCUUCCCUCAGCCACCCACCCUUGCCAACUUGCCACAUGCUGGCUGUGCUGUCUGAACAUUCUGAUCCUCUGAGAACAGAGAUUGUGUGGUGCAGACAAAGCUCACUUCCGCCACAGGCCCUGACUGCUUGCUCUGGAGGUGCUGCCCCAUCUCAGAUCUACUGCUGCUGUUUACAAUUUGUUUUAAAGAGUGAACACCAGAAGUAAUGACAGAUCUUGAGAGAUGGCCGUUAACAUUCUUCAUUGAGGUACAAAGAGGUUAAUUUGCCUUCGAGAUUCAAGUUCCCCGCAACUGACCCAUUGCUCCAAACACCCAAAUGAUAAAAUGACUAACAAAAUCUUCAUAUGGGAAGAUGUUCUCAUUGUUUCUCAUUAUGAUUGUUUUUUUGUUUUUAUUCUUUCAACUGGAAAAUUAUUCCCAUUGAGAAUUUUCAAUCAUUACACAUAAAAAGCUGUUCAGCAAGGACCAUUCAGCACUUGGAAGCUGUGAAAAUCUACUUUCAGUCUCAAAACAUCUGUAACCCCCAGUGGAGUUUUGGCUCUCUCUACUGUACUUGCCUUCCAGUAAAAACACAGGAGAACGGCAAUUUCCCAUCGACAAAGCUAUAAUCUUGGGAAGAAAUGAGUAAACACAUUACUGAACAGCAGCAUGAAAGAAGAGACACAAUUGCCUGGCUGUUUCAGUAAAAACAUAGGGAAUUAGUUGACUGUGUUCAUGUAGAUUUGGGUUUAUGCGCCUCCUACACACACACACAUCCGCACACACGCACAAACACUACACACGCUAUUUAUAUUUAGUCCAAAACUACAGUGGCUGUAACCAUUUGAUCAAUAGAUUUAAACAAACUAAACAAAAACACCCUUUAAAGUUCAUAAUAAUCAUCGUCAAUCCUUGCAUAC
rnacentral:lncRNA from 1 species